GAUCAUGGCUCAGGAUGAACGCUGGCGGCGUGCCUAACACAUGCAAGUCGAACGAAGCACCUUACCUGAUUCUUCGGAUGAAGGUCUGGUGACUGAGUGGCGGACGGGUGAGUAACGCGUGGGUAACCUGCCCUGUACAGGGGGAUAACAGUUGGAAACGGCUGCUAAUACCGCAUAAGCGCACAAGAGGACAUCCUCUUGUGUGAAGAACUCCGGUGGUACAGGAUGGGCCCGCGU
rnacentral:rRNA from 1 species